CGCUACGUCCAUACCAGCCUGGGUACGCCCGAUCUCGUCUGAUCUCGGAAGCUAAGCAGGGUCGGGCCUGGUUAGUACUUGGAUGGGAGACCGCCUGGGAGUACCAGGUGCUGUAAGGA
rnacentral:rRNA from 1 species